rnacentral:rRNA from 1 species
UACGGAGGGAGCUAGCGUUGUUCGGAUAUACUGGGCGUAAAGCGCACGUAGGCGGCGCCGUAAGUCAGUUGUGAAAUCUCCGAGCUUAACUCGGAAAGGUCAACUGAUACUGCGGGGCUAGAGUGCGGAAGGGGCAACUGGAAUUCUUGGUGUAGCGGUGAAAUGCGUAGAUAUCAAGAGGAACACCUGCGGCGAAGGCGGGUUGCUGGGCCGACACUGACGCUGAGGCGCGAAAGCUAGGGGAGCGAACAGG